ensembl:lncRNA
CCACCGCCUGCCCUCCAGACUCCACCCACAGAGGAGGAAGAGGAGGAGCCAAACACGCAGAACCGCCCAACUGCCGCGCCCAAAGCCUCCAGCAGCUCCAGCUCAGAGGAGGAGAGCGAAUCGGAGAGCGACGCGGAGUCAGGUGCCUCCGUCCGUGACUGUGAUGCUUGACACUCAUCCGAAAGAUGUGGUGAAACGAAACCAAAAACAAUCCUCCUUCUGUCCAAUUUCAGAAAAAGCAAAAACCCGAGAGCUGAUCAACAACCUGAACAACAAGCGCAACAAUCCAACUCCAUUAGCGACCGCCACGGCAACCAGCACUGCGGUGAACCAGGUCAAAAAGACAGAACCGGUGCGCGCAGCGGUGAGUGAGGCUCCGGGCUCCUGGCGAACGUCCCUGCGUAAGGCGGGCAGCUCCGUGGCGCUGGGCUCGUCCGGAGCGUCCGACGUGGGUGUGGAGGCCCUGCGUGGACCAGACAGCGCUGCAGCCAUGACGCGCUCGGCCUCCAGUCCCAAACUCAGCUCGCACAACGACACCAAGGAGCCCCGGCUGGCGCGAGUGCAGCCCACUCCAUCCAGACGCCUGUUCAGUGUUGGAGAUACAAACACCAGCACCAACCCCACCUCAGACAGCUCCAGCAGGUGUGUGUGUGUGUGCGCCUUUGUUGGUGUCAUGU